rnacentral:rRNA from 1 species
UGGGGAAUAUUGGACAAUGGGCGAAAGCCUGAUCCAGCCAUGCCGCGUGUGUGAAGAAGGUCUUCGGAUUGUAAAGCACUUUAAGUUGGGAGGAAGGGCAGUAAGCGAAUACCUUGCUGUUUUGACGUUACCGACAGAAUAAGCACCGGCUAACUCUGUGCCAGCAGCCGCGGUAAUACAGAGGGUGCAAGCGUUAAUCGGAAUUACUGGGCGUAAAGCGCGCGUAGGUGGUUCGUUAAGUUGAAUGUGAAAGCCCCGGGCUCAACCUGGGAACUGCAUCCAAAACUGGCGAGCUAGAGUAGGGCAGAGGGUGGUGGAAUUUCAUGUGUAGCGGUGAAAUGCGUAGAUAUAGGAAGGAACACCAGUGGCGAAGGCGACCACCUGGGCUCAUACUGACACUGAGGUGAGAAAGCGUGGGGAGCAAACAGG